UACGUAGGGGGCAAGCGUUGUUCGGAAUCAUUGGGCGUAAAGGGCGCGUAGGUGGUUCUGUAUGUCUACCGUGAAAGCGUACGGCUCAACUGUAUUUUGUCGGUAGAAACUGUAGGACUUGAGGCUGGGAGGGGCUGGUGGAAUUCCCUGUGUAGCGGUGAAAUGCGUAGAGAUGGGGGAGAACACUCGUGGCGAAGGCGGCCAGCUAGACCAGUUCUGACACUGAGGCGCGACAGCGUGGGGAGCAAACAGG
rnacentral:rRNA from 1 species